rnacentral:rRNA from 1 species
AGCGACAGAAGAAGCACCGGCUAACUCCGUGCCAGCAGCCGCGGUAAUACGGAGGGUGGCGAGCGUUAAUCGGAAUUACUGGGCGUAAAGACGCAUGCAGGUGGUUUGGUUUAAGUUCAGAUGUGAAAGACCCGGGGCGUCAACCUCGGAAUAGCAUUUGAAACUGGCAGACUAGAGUACUGUAGAUGGGGGGUAGGAAUUUCAGGUGUAGCGGUGAAAUGCGUAGAGAUCUGAAGGAAUACCGGUGGCGAAGGCGGCCCCCUCGGACAGAUACUGACACUCAGAUGCGAAAGCGUGGGGAGCAAACAGGAUUAGAUACCCUGGUAG